rnacentral:miRNA from 1 species
GCGGGCGGCCCCGCGGUGCAUUGCUGUUGCAUUGCACGUGAGUGACGGGGGUGCAGUGCCUCGGCAGUGCAGCCCGGAGCCGGCCCCUGGCACC